rnacentral:rRNA from 1 species
CGGGGGGCAGCAGUAAGGAAUAUUGGUCAAUGGGCGCAAGCCUGAACCAGCCAUGCCGCGUGAAGGAUGACGGCCCUAUGGGUUGUAAACUUCUUUUGUACGGGAAUAAACCCAGGUACGUGUACCUGGCUGAAUGUACCGUAAGAAUAAGGAUCGGCUAACUCCGUGCCAGCAGCCGCGGUAAUACGGAGGAUCCAAGCGUUAUCCGGAUUCAUUGGGUUUAAAGGGUGCGUAGGCGGACUUAUAAGUCAGUGGUGAAAUCCUGCAGCUUAACUGCAGAACUGCCAUUGAUACUGUAAGUCUUGAGUGUGUUUGAAGUGGGCGGAAUGUGUCAUGUAGCGGUGAAAUGCUUAGAUAUGACACAGAACACCGAUUGCGUAGGCAGCUCACUAAACCACAACUGACGCUGAGGCACGACAGCGUGGGGAUCAAACAGGAUUAGAUACCCGAGU